UACGAGGGGUGCAAGCGUUGCUCGGAAUUAUUGGGCGUAAAGAGCUUGUAGGCGGUUUGUCGCGUCUGCCGUGAAAAUUCGAGGCUCAACCUCGAACUUGCGGUGGGUACGGGCAGACUAGAGUGUGGUAGGGGAGACUGGAAUUCCUGGUGUAGCGGUGAAAUGCGCAGAUAUCAGGAGGAACACCGAUGGCGAAGGCAGGUCUCUGGGCCACUACUGACGCUGAGAAGCGAAAGCAUGGGGAGCGAACAGG
rnacentral:rRNA from 1 species